rnacentral:rRNA from 1 species
GUGAGGAAUUUUCCGCAAUGGGCGAAAGCCUGACGGAGCAAUGCCGCGUGAAGGAUGAAGGCCUAUGGGUUGUAAACUUCUUUUCUCAGAAAAGAAUUAUGACGGUAUCUGAGGAAUAAGCAUCGGCUAACUCUGUGCCAGCAGCCGCGGUAAGACAGAGGAUGCAAGCGUUAUCCGGAAUGAUUGGGCGUAAAGCGUCUGUAGGUUGUUUAAAAAGUAUUCUGUCAAAGAUUAGGGCUUAACCCUAGAUAGGCAGAAUAAACUUUUAAGCUAGAGUUUGGUAGAGGCAGAGGGAAUUCCCGGUGGAGCGGUGAAAUGCGUAGAUAUCGGGAGGAACACCAAAGGCGAAGGCACUCUGCUGGGCCAAUACUAACACUGAGAGACGAAAGCGAGGGGAGCAAAUGGGAUUAGAUACCCUAGUAGUUC